AACGCGAAGAACCUUACCUGGGCUCGAAAUGUAGUGGAAUCGGGUGGAAACAUCCGCGUCUCGCAAGAGACUGCUAUAUAGGUGCUGCAUGGCUGUCGUCAGCUCGUGUCGUGAGAUGUUGGGUUAAGUCCCGCAACGAGCGCAACCCUUAUUGCCAGUUGCCACCGGGUUAUGCCGAGCACUCUGGCGAAACCGCACAGGAUAACUGUGAGGAAGGUGGGGAUGACGUCAAGUCCUCAUGGCCUUUAUGUCCAGGGCUACACACGUGCUACAAUGGUCGGUACAAACCGUCGCAAACCCGCGAGGGGGAGCUAAUCGGAAAAAGCCGGCCUCAGUUCGGAUUGGAGUCUGCAACCCGACUCCAUGAAGCUGGAAUCGCUAGUAAUCGCGGAUCAGAACGCCGCGGUGAAUACGUUCCCGGGCCUUGUA
rnacentral:rRNA from 1 species